UACGGGGGGUGCAAGCGUUGUUCGGAAUUAUUGGGCGUAAAGCGCGUGUAGGCGGUCUGAUUAGUCUGAUGUGAAAGCCCUGGGCUCAACCCAGGAAGUGCAUUGGAUACUGUCAGACUUGAAUACGGGAGAGGGUAGUGGGAUUCCUAGUGUAGGAGUGAAAUCCGUAGAUAUUAGGAGGAACACCGGUGGCGAAGGCGGCUACCUGGACCGAUAUUGACGCUGAGACGCGAAAGCGUGGGUAGCAAACAGG
rnacentral:rRNA from 1 species